rnacentral:lncRNA from 1 species
ACAAGGUGUCGAUUUAGAUUACCGAGUUAUUUGAAACGUGUUUCAUUUGUUCUUUACAAAGUGUUAGAUACAAUUUCACUGCACAUAAGAAUUUUCUAGCUCAGUUAAAACGUAUUUUCAAGCAUACAAACCACAACUAAACAACGCGAAUGUAAAUAUAUACGACUGAGUCAUACAUCCUAAAAAAGGCAAGCAACGGACUGGUAAUAGGUAGGCCUGUUUUAGAGACUGUGGUAAACUACAGUUCAUUAUUACAUGCGAAAUGUUUUUGCUUCGGAGCAGAACACUGAUCUAUCUCUGUCUUCAUAUCUUUUUCUUCUCAGAGCUGGAGUGUGAUGCCUUGCUCCUAUUCAUGGCUAUUGACCUACAAUUUUUGAACAAUCUAAAUUAGUUAUUCAUUCAAUGGGAAAUCAGAAGUGGGGAUUACUUUACCAAGAUCAUUAGCAAGUUUAUGAGGGAAAAGAAAGCGAUAUAACUUCCAAAAGCAAACGUAAGAAUGAAGUACAUAGUAUUAUACUCCCUCCGUUCCAAAAUAGAUGACUCAAAUUUGUACUAACUUUAGUACAAAGUUAGUACAAAGUUGGGUCAUCUAUUUUGGAACGGAGGAGUAGCUGGGAAAGUAGGAACAUGAGAUGCGGCGUGUUUUAGAAAAAAAUGGUCGAGUCCCUGAUCCUAGUAACAUGAGCUGAGAUUAUUUUGUCAGGGACUCAUGGUCAUGGCUGUAUAUAAUUUUCACAAGCAACAAACCUAUGUGACAACCUACCUUCGAUCACAAAGCUAUAUAAUCUAUAUAAUAGACAAAAAUGGAGCAUUCGAUAACUUAAAUACCUAUUUUUCCUACCAUAGUGUGAUGAGGCUCUGAAACUGCACAUACAGGGAUUUUCAUGGGACCAUUCAGGACUUUGAAAAAAGAUACAAAAACUGCAUUCAGCUCUUCCAUCUAAGGCUACCUCAAUAAUAAACCAAUACUAAAUGAUAGAAUAAUCUGAAAAUCGUAUAUGAUAACAAUGCAAAAUAAUCUUGCAGCACCUCCUAAAACUGUAAAAGCUGUGAAAUUGGCAGUCAACUUACUAUCAACGAGAAACACCACACUAUGAUAACAAUGCAAAAUAAUCUUGCAGCACCUCCUAAAACUAUAAAAGCUGUGAAAUUGGCAGUCAACUUACUAUCAACGGGAAACACCACACUGCACUAUAUUUUUCCAGGAACAAGAUGCUAAUAUGCUUUCCCGUUCCCCACUGCAAGGAUGCACGUCGUCUCCCCAUUCUCCACCGCGAGGACGCCGACGCGUCCCUGUUCUCCACCGCCAGCACGCCCAACUCCUCCCCUAUCUCCACCACAAGGACGUUGGGCGCCUCUUCGUUUGCCACCCUGAGCACCGCAUUGAGGUCGUCUAGCAAUGUACUAUCAAGGCAACUGCUUUUCAUUGUCCCCCUCUAUUAAUUUUUCGCCGCACACACCCCUUGUUAUUCUACACCUAGGACGGCUGUUCUUGUAGAUUUUGCCGACCACCAUGUUCUGCAGUAAAUAGUAUGGCUGCAGUCCAAUGUGUUGAUUUUCAGCAGGCCAAUGUGUUGAUUGACUAAUUUUGUGCAUCAAAAACAGUAGGGCAGUGUUGAUGAAUCAAUUUUGUUUAGUAAAAAACGGAGUCUGUGACAAUACUAUAAAAGCGCUAGUCUCCAAAGUCCACCAUGCCGCAAAAACAUUUAGCACCCAUUUAAAUAUGGAUUUGGGUUCAUAUAUACACAAAGCGCAGUAAUUGUUGUGAAGCAAGAAAAAUAAUGCUCCUACUAUCAGAAAUAUGUGCCGACAACAACACCAUCCUAUUAGAGCUCGAAAACAGGAACAGAGAAGGCACCUAUACCUGUUCAUGGAGCUGUGUCUGAACCUCCAUUUGCAUAUGUAGAGCUUCUGCCAAGUUCCUAAGAAAAGGAGAAGGGGACAGAUGUAAAUUUGUAAGGUCAUGGUAUUUACCAUGCAUACAUUCUAGUGUACUAAUUCAGAGAUAUUACUUGUUUUUGAACGGAGCACUUCCACUGCUACCUAGUCGUACCUUCUUAAUAUCUGAGGAGGCCUUCUUUGAUGCGUAUUCAGUAUAAAAAAGGACUGCUCAUGAGUAGAAAGAUCAUUGUCGCAAUUUGGAAUGACAUGUUCUAGUAGGAAUCCUAGAUAUACAAAGAGAGGAUUAGUUCGGCAGAAUCAAUACGAUUAUUAGUAAAAAAUACAGAGUCCGUAACAAUACUAUAAAAGCUUAGUCUCCAAAGUCCACCAUGCCGCAAAAACAUUUAGCACCCAUUUAAAUAUGGAUUUGGGUUCAUAUAUACACAAAGCGCAGUAAUUAUUGUGAAGCAAGAAAAAGAAUGCCCCUACUAUCAGAAAUAUGUGCCGACAACAACACCAUCCUAUUAGAGCUCAAAAACAGGAACAGAGAAGGCACCUAUACCUAUUUAUGGAGCUGUGUCUGAACCUCCAUUUGCAUAUGUAGAGCUUCUGCCAAGUUCCUAAGAAAGGAGAAGGGGACAGAUGUAAAUUUGUAAGGUCAUGGUAUUUACCAUGCAUACAUUCUAGUGUAAUAAUUUAGAGAUAUUACUUGUUUUUGAACGGAGCACUUCCACUGCUACCUAGACGUACCUUCUUAUUGUCCAAGGAGGCCUUCUUCUCUGCAUACAGUAUGCAUCAAAAUUCAGUAUAAAAAAGGACUGCUCAUGAGUAGAAAGGUCAUUGUCGCAAUUUGGAAUGACAUGUUCUAGUAGGAAUCCUAGAUAUACAAAGAGAGGAUUAGUUCGGCACAAUCAAUACAAUUAUUAGUAAAAAAACAGAGUCCAUAACAAUACUAUAAAAGCACUAGUCUCCAAAGUCAACCAUGCCGCAAAAAUAUUUAGCACCCAUUUAAAUAUGGAUUUGGGUUCAUAUAUACACAAAGCGCAGUAAUUAUUGUGAAGCAAGAAAAAUAAUGCUCCUACUAUCAGAAAUAUGUGCCGACAACAACACCAUCCUAUUAGAGCUCGAAAACAGGAACAAAGAAGGCACCUAUACCUGUUCAUGGAGCUGUGUCUGAACCUGCAUUUGCAUAUGUAGAGCUUCUGCCAAGUUCCUAAGAAAAGGAGAAGGGGACAGAUGUAAAUUUGUAAGGUCAUGGUAUUUACCAUGCAUACAUUCUAUUGUAAUAAUUCAGAGAUAUUACAUGUUUUUGAACGGAGCACUUCCACUGCUACCUAGUCAUACCUUCUUAAUGUCUGAGGAGGCCUUCUUGUCUGCAUACAGUAUGCAUCAAAAUACUGUAUAAAAAAGGACUGCUCAUGAGUAGAAAGAUCAUUGUCGCAAUUUGGAAUGACAUGUUCUAGUAGGAAUCCUAGAUAUACAAAGAGGGGAUUAGUUCGCCAGAAUCAAUACGAUUAUUAGUAAAAAUACAGAGUUAAAAACAAUACUAUAAAAGCGCUAGUCUCCAAAGUCCACCAUGCCGCAAAAACAUUUAGCACCCAUUUAAAUAUGGAUUUGGGUUCAUAUAUACACAAAGCGCAGUAAUUAUUGUGAAGCAAGAAAAAGAAUGCUCCUACUAUCAGAAAUAUAUGUCGACAAGGCGACAACAACACCAUCCUAUUAGAGCUCGAAAACAUGAACAGAGAAGGCACCUAUAGCUGUUCAUGGAGCUGUGUCUGAACCUCCAUUUGCAUAUGUAGAGCUUCUGCCAAGUUCCUGAGAAAAGGAGAAGGGGACAGAUGUGAAUUUGCAAGGUCAUGGUAUUGACCAAGCAUACAUUCUAGUGUAAUAAUUCAGAGAUAUUACUUGUUUUUGAACGGAGCACUUCCACUGUUACCUAGUUGUACCUUCUUAAUGUCCGAGGAGGCUUUGUUUUCUGUAUAGAGUAUGCAUCAAAAUUCAGUAUAAAAAAGGACUACUCAUGAGUAGAAAGAUCAUUGUCGCAAUUUGGAAUGACAUGUUCUAGUAGGAAUCCUAGAUAUACAAAGAGAGUAUUAGUUCAGCAGAAUCAAUAUGAUUAUGCAACAAACUAUCAACCAUUGCACUAUAUCUCAAGAAUUUAUAGUGUAGCCUCCAAACAAAGCGGCAAUCAAGGCAACAUCAAUCUAACAACAAUGGCUGACCGAUGAUGUUUUAGUCCUUCUGGUUUACUAAUUCAGAGGAACUGUAACAAAAAUCGCUCUUUGGUCAAUAGCAUCAACUGAUUCUUUGAAAUCUAAAUUCCAAUCUUAGCUAAAAUUAUUCUUCCUCUCUUCUAUGUCAGAUCUGCACACGUCAAGUUUAAAAAUCCAUAUAAUAGCAAAGUAAAAUACGUGUGAGAAAGAAAUUAAGAGAGGGAGAGAAAGAGUGGAGCACCUAGUUCACCGCCGGCUUGCAUCGCUCGAGCCGCCGGCAACAGGCACAUGUUGUCCUCCUUAUACUCCAGAUCCACGAGGCAGUCAUGGGAGGAGGGAUGAGCUCCUGGUUCCUCUCGCCUUCCCACACCACCUGUUCACCUCGAGCUCCUUCCCCAUGCUAGGAUCGCUCACCUUCUCCUUCCCCGCUGUUGCUUGCCUUCCUCCCCGGCCUCCUCCUUCCCUUGUCGUCCGCAUCCUACACCUCCCCUACAUCCCCACCUGCACCGCAAAGAUGACCUAUGUCCAAUCUGGAUCGACGGUGAGAUGGAAGAGGAUAGGAGGAGGCGAGCAGAGGAGAAGGCUGGCGGUGGGAUCGACGACGACAUGGUAGCGGAGAGGAGGAGGCGAGUGGAGAGACGAGGUCGGCCGGCGGCUGCUGGCGAGGAGAGGAUCGUGGGAAUCGAGGGAGGGGUGCGGCGGCUCGUGGGGAUCGAUGGGAAAGAGAAAGAGGGCUAGGGUUCGUUUGGCGGCUGGGGUGGGAGUGGGGCGAGACGCGGGUGAUUGGGUGCGGGCGCGCCGAGCUGAUUGGGAAAAACCACCUGCACCUGCAAACGGGCAACCCAGCCAACCAACGUGCGAUGCGAGCCCACCAAUCAUUGGACGACGAAAACGACUGCGGGGUGAAAACUGAGUUUAACUGCUGUGAAGAUCAAUGGUCCAGAUGCACGAAAAAAGCAGAUCCGACGACCAACGAACAACCAAUCGGGGAAGCCUCCUGGAGGCGAGUUGCCUCGUACCUUCUUAUUGUCCAAGGAGGCCUUCUUGU